rnacentral:rRNA from 1 species
AUUGAACGCUGGCGGCAGGCCUAACACAUGCAAGUCGAGCGAGCGGCGGACGGGUGAGUAAUGUAUGGGGACUGCCCGAUAGAGGGGGAUAACUACUGGAAACGGUAGCUAAUACCGCAUACUAUCGGAUAACCCAUAUGGGAUUAGCUAGUAGGUGAGGUAAAGGCUCACCUAGGCGACGAUCCCUAGCUGGUCUGAGAGGAUGACCAGCCACACUGGAACUGAGACACGGCCCAGAGUCCUACGGAGGCAGCAGUGGGGAAUAGUGCACAAUGGGCGCAAGCCUGAUGCAGCCAUGCCGCGUGUAUGAAGAAGGCCGUAGGGUUGUAAAGUACUUGCAGUGGGGAGGCGUUACCGACAGAAGAAGCACCGGCUAACUCCGUGCCAGCAGCCGCGGUAAUAC